GCAAAUGGAGGCCGGGCGCGGUGGCUUAUGCCUGUAAUCCCAGCACUUUGGGAGGCCAAGGUGGGCAGAUCAUGAGAUCAAGAGAUCAAGACCAUCCUGG